GUGUUUUAACCUGGAAUAUCUAGCUAGAACCUCCUGAAUAAUAUGUAGGGCCAAGGCAGCAUUUUCUUUAAACAUAUUUUGUAAACCAAGCAAUUAUAUAUAUAAACAAAUAAGCAUUUCUAACAGUUACCAUACUACGGUUUCAUGAUUGUAUGCUUUAAGAGGCAAGUAGCUAGUAUAAUGUUUCUCAACAAAUGCCCUCCUUUAACAUUCAAGUGAAUUCCACUAAGAAUGUCACAUGAUCUUGCUGUUUGGUUCUAUGCACAGAGUAAUCUCUCUCAA
rnacentral:lncRNA from 1 species